rnacentral:rRNA from 1 species
GACAGAGGGUGCAAACGUUGUUCGGAAUUACUGGGCGUAAAGCGCGUGUAGGUGGCAAGGCAAGUCGGGUGUGAAAGCCCUGGGCUCAACCCAGGAAGUGCACUCGAUACUGCCUCGCUAGAGUCCCGGAGAGGUUGGUGGAACUCUCGGUGUAGAGGUGAAAUUCGUAGAUAUCGAGAAGAACACCGGUGGCGAAGGCGGCCAACUGGACGGUGACUGACACUGAGACGCGAAAGCGUGGGGAGACAAACAGGA